UACGAAGGGGGCUAGCGUUGUUCGGAAUUACUGGGCGUAAAACGCACGUAGGCGGAUUGUUAAGUCAGAGGUGAAAGCCUGGAGCUCAACUCCAGAACUGCCUUUGAUACUGGCAAUCUCGAGUCCGGAAGAGGUAAGUGGAACUGCGAGUGUAGAGGUGAAAUUCGUAGAUAUUCGCAAGAACACCAGUGGCGAAGGCGGCUUACUGGUCCGGUACUGACGCUGAGGUGCGAAAGCGUGGGGAGCAAACAGG
rnacentral:rRNA from 1 species